GACGAACGCUGGCGGCGUGCUUAACACAUGCAAGUCGAACGGAAAGGCCCUGCUUUUGUGGGGUGCUCGAGUGGCGAACGGGUGAGUAACACGUGAGUAACCUGCCCUUGACUUUGGGAUAACUUCAGGAAACUGGGGCUAAUACCGGAUAGGAGCUCCUGCUGCAUGGUGGGGGUUGGAAAGUUUCGGCGGUUGGGGAUGGACUCGCGGCUUAUCAGCUUGUUGGUGGGGUAGUGGCUUACCAAGGCUUUGACGGGUAGCCGGCCUGAGAGGGUGACCGGCCACGUUGGGACUGAGAUACGGCCCAGAAUCCUACGGGAGGCAGCAGUGGGGAAUAUUGCACAAUGGGCGGAAGCCUGAUGCAGCAACGCCGCGUGCGGGAUGACGGCCUUCGGGUUGUAAACCGCUUUCGCCUGUGACGAAGCGUGAGUGACGGUAAUGGGUAAAGAAGCACCGGCUAACUACGUG
rnacentral:rRNA from 1 species